rnacentral:tRNA from 1 species
GGGGAUUUAGCUCAGUUGGUAGAGUGCUUGUCUUGCAUACACAAGGCACAAGGCCCUGGGUUCAAUCCCCAGCACCA